rnacentral:lncRNA from 1 species
UUUUUCCAUUUAAAAUAAAGUAGAUUUAAGAUAAGGUAGAUGUAUUAAGAUAAAGUAGAUUUAUUAUUUCCUCUUCCCAACAUGUUUCAGUGUUCCAUUAAUUCCUGGCAUUAUUUCUCAGGAAAUGGAUUCAAAUCAAUUUUUAAACUCUAAUCCUUUUUAGGGAAUGGGAAUUACUGAAGAGAUGGACCAAGUGGAUUUGCAGACGCCUACAGUGGAACUGAAAAAUUGAAGCGACCUUAGGAUCAUGGGCUCCUAAGAGAUGAUGCCAACAAGGAGUUGGAAGGCAUUCAUGGUACUCAAGCAUGAUGGAAACCAAGGGCAACUUCUGCCUUGGAACUUUUUUCUUGCGUCAGCAAGAUGCAGCCAACGAGAAGGGAAGGAAGAAUUAUGCAAGAUUUUUAGUUUCUGUCAGGAGGGUGGUGAUGGUAGUCACAACAACUCAUAGAAGAAGUAUUGAUCUUGAGUCUUUCUGUAACAUCUUAUUUCCUCUUCUAAGUUAUAAAGGGCAAUGGGAAGACUGAAAAAUAUUCCUGGAGUUAAGCUUGUGAUACUGAUAAAGGCAGAAUGGACAGAAAGCAUGGACAAUACACAGUGAAUGUUGAACACCCUGGAAAUCAACUAGUGAGUAUUCUGGUCCAUUUUGAUUUUGUCUAAUUAUGGUCUAAUUUUUAGCCU